UACGGAGGGUGCAAGCGUUACUCGGAAUCACUGGGCGUAAAGGGCGCGUAGGCGGCCUAGCAAGUCUGGCGUGAAAGCCCAGGGCUCAACCCUGGAAGGGCACUGGAAACUGUUAGGCUUGAGUUCCGGAGAGGAGGGGGGAAUUCCCGGUGUAGCGGUGAAAUGCGUAGAUAUCGGGAGGAAUACCGGUAGGGAAGGCGCCCCUCUGGACGGAAACUGACGCUGAGGCGCGGAUGCGUGGGGAGCAAUUAGG
rnacentral:rRNA from 1 species